rnacentral:snRNA from 1 species
GUGGCAAAGAUAUUUGGCAGCACAUAUAUUAAAAUUGGAAUGAUACAGAGAAGAUUAACAUGGCCCCUGCACAAGCAUGACAUGCAAAUUCUUUAAGAGUUUCAUAUAAAA